rnacentral:rRNA from 3 species
GAGUAAUGUCUGGGAAACUGCCUGAUGGAGGGGGAUAACUACUGGAAACGGUGGCUAAUACCGCAUAACGUCGCAAGACCAAAGAGGGGGACCUUCGGGCCUCUUGCCAUCAGAUGUGCCCAGAUGGGAUUAGCUUGUUGGUGAGGUAACGGCUCACCAAGGCGACGAUCCCUAGCUGGUCUGAGAGGAUGACCAGCCACACUGGAACUGAGACACGGUCCAGACUCCUACGGGAGGCAGCAGUGGGGAAUAUUGCACAAUGGGCGCAAGCCUGAUGCAGCCAUGCCGCGUGUAUGAAGAAGGCCUUCGGGUUGUAAAGUACUUUCAGCGGGGAGGAAGGUGUUGUGGUUAAUAACCGCAGCAAUUGACGUUACCCGCAGAAGAAGCACCGGCUAACUCCGUGCCAGCAGCCGCGGUAAUACGGAGGGUGCAAGCGUUAAUCGGAAUUACUGGGCGUAAAGCGCACGCAGGCGGUCUGUCAAGUCGGAUGUGAAAUCCCCGGGCUCAACCUGGGAACUGCAUUCGAAACUGGCAGGCUUGAGUCUUGUAGAGGGGGGUAGAAUUCCAGGUGUAGCGGUGAAAUGCGUAGAGAUCUGGAGGAAUACCGGUGGCGAAGGCGGCCCCCUGGACAAAGACUGACGCUCAGGUGCGAAAGCGUGGGGAGCAAACAGGAUUAGAUACCCU